rnacentral:lncRNA from 1 species
GAGAGAGAGAUAGAGAGAUGAGCGAUACGAACAUCAUUGGCAACACAAGCUUGCAAGUUAGUAGAAGGUUUGUUAAUCCGAUGUCCUCUGCCAAAAACUUUUGUAGUCGGUUCUGUUACAGUAUUUUUUUCUUCAAGUAAUUGUGUAUCGAGCACGUGAGGUUCAUGUAAAAUCGUAAAGGGUUGUAAAUAUAUUAGCAGUGAAUAUGAUAGAAAAGUAUGAAAAAUAAUCGAAACAUACAACAUACAUAUGAUCUAUAAAUUAUACAUACAU